AUUUAUUUAAUAUAAAAAGUAUAUUAAGCUUCCAACUUAAAAGAUCCAUUAGGAAAUAAAUA
rnacentral:tRNA from 1 species